rnacentral:rRNA from 1 species
ACGUAGGGGGCGAGCGUUAUCCGGAUUCAUUGGGCGUAAAGCGCGCGUAGGCGGCCGGGCAGGCGGGGCGUCAAAUGGCGGGGCUCAACCCCGUCCCGCGCCCCGAACCGCCCGGCUCGGGUCCGGCAGGGGAGGGUGGAACGCCCGGUGUAGCGGUGGAAUGCGCAGAUAUCGGGCGGAACACCGGUGGCGAAGGCGGCCCUCUGGGCCGGCACCGACGCUGAGGCGCGAAAGCUGGGGGAGCGAACAG